rnacentral:rRNA from 1 species
CCGGCGACCGGCGGACGGGUGCGUAACGCGUAUGUAACCUACCUUUGACAGGGGGAUAACAUCGAGAAAUUGGUACUAAUACCCCAUAACAUCACCGGAGGCAUCUUCGGUGGUUGAAAACUCAGGUGGUCAGAGAUGGACAUGCGUUGUAUUAGCUAGUUGGUGAGGUAACAGCUCACCAAGGCGACGAUACAUAGGGGGACUGAGAGGUCAACCCCCCACAUUGGUACUGAGACACGGACCAAACUCCUACGGAAGGCAGCAG